AAUGUGUUUUCCUACAAGGCAAUAAUAAAGUUAUAAAUUAAAACAUGUUACAGAAAAUCGUCACAGUCAAUAUAAUUUAACAAGCUUAUAACCACUUUGCACAGUUUAUUGAGCACAGAAAUGAAAUUUCACAUUUCGGUUGCUUUACUGGCAAUUAUUUUGCUCAUUUCCGAAAUAAGCGCCAAACCUGCACCGAAUUUCGUGUUUGGGAUACCUGGAGCUUAUUUUGGUUGGUGGAACUGGGGGUACUACCCUUACACCCACGUAGCGUACGCGUACCCCGAUGACGGGGUCAAAGUAACAUGGUCGUCAUGGGUCAUUUAAUGUUAAAUAAAACACGAUUCCAUUAACAACAAAUAUAUUUGGCUUGUGUGGUAAA